AUUGAACGCUGGCGGCAGGCCUAACUCAUGCAAGUCGAGCGGCAGCGGGACCUUCGGGUUGCCGGCGAGCGGCGGACGGGUGAGUAAUGCCUAGGAAUCUGCCUGUUAGUGGGGGAUAACGCGGGGAAACUCGCGCUAAUACCGCAUACGUCCUACGGGAGAAAGCGGGGGCUCUUCGGACCUCGCGCUAACAGAUGAGCCUAGGUCGGAUUAGCUAGUUGGUGGGGUAAUGGCUCACCAAGGCGACGAUCCGUAACUGGUCUGAGAGGAUGAUCAGUCACACUGGAACUGAGACACGGUCCAGACUCCUACGGGAGGCAGCAGUGGGGAAUAUUGGACAAUGGGCGAAAGCCUGAUCCAGCCAUGCCGCGUGUGUGAAGAAGGUCUUCGGAUUGUAAAGCACUUUAAGUCGGGAGGAAGGGCUGUAGGUUAAUACCCUGCGGUUUUGACGUUACCGACAGAAUAAGCACCGGCUAACUUCGUGCCAGCCGCCGCCGUAAAAC
rnacentral:rRNA from 1 species